rnacentral:rRNA from 1 species
CAAUAGCGUAUAUUAAAGUUGUUGCGGUUAAAAAGCUCGUAGUUGGAUUUCUGCCGAGGACGACCGGUCCGCCCUGUGGGUGAGCAUCUGGAUCGGCCUGGGCAUCUUCUUGGGGAACGUAGCUGCACUUGACUGUGUGGUGCGGUAUCCAGGACUUUUACCUUGAGGAAAUUAGAGUGUUUCAAGCAGGCGCACGCCUUGAAUACAUUAGCAUGGAAUAAUAAGAUAGGACCUCGGUUCUAUUUUGUUGGUUUCUAGAGCUGAGGUAAUGAUUAAUAGGGAUAGUUGGGGGCAUUAGUAUUUAAUUGUCAGAGGUGAAAUUCUUGGACCGUCUGAAGACUGACUACUGCGAAAGCAUUUGCCAAGAGUGUUUUCAUUAAUCAAGAACGAAAGUUAGAGGUUCGAAGACGAUCAGAUACCGU